rnacentral:rRNA from 1 species
GGAAUAUUGGACAAUGGGGGCAACCCUGAUCCAGCGACGCCGCGUGUGUGAAGAAGGCCUGCGGGUUGUAAAGCACUUUUAGUGGGGAUGAAAAGCUCAGGGUUAAUACCUCUGGGUCUUGACCUAACCCACAGAAAAAGCACCGGCUAACUCUGUGCCAGCAGCCGCGGUAAUACGGAGGGUGCGAGCGUUGUUCGGAAUCACUGGGCGUAAAGCGCGUGUAGGCGGCCUGCUAAGUCUGAUGUGAAAGCCCGAGGCUCACCCUCGGAAGUGCAUUGGAAACUGGCAGACUGGAGUCCCGGAGAGGAGAGUGGAAUUCCUGGUGUAGCGGUGAAAUGCGUAGAUAUCAGGAGGAACACCGGUGGCGAAGGCGGCUCUCUGGACGGUGACUGACGCUGAGACGCGAAAGCGUGGGGAGCAAAC